rnacentral:sRNA from 1 species
GGCAAUUGAUGCGCAAACGUUAUCGUCGGUGCGCAAGAUUGCAGCGUUAUCGAGCCGUAUACCGUUCAGGAUUGCGAUAAAAAAUCGUCUGAGAUGACAAAAAUAUUGCGGUUAAAAAGUAUACUUUUACACUGGCGAAG